rnacentral:rRNA from 1 species
ACAUGCAAGUCGAACGGGGUAGCAAUACCUAGUGGCAGACGGGUGAGUAACAUGUGGGUACCUUCCCUUUGGUGAGGAAUAACACGAGGAAACUUGUGCUAAUACCUCAUAAGUCUUUACGGAGAAAGCUUUAUGCGCCAAUGGAUGGGCCUGCACUUGAUUAGUUAGUUGGUAAGGUAAUGGCUUACCAAGACUUUGAUCAAUAGCUGAUUUGAGAGGAUGAUCAGCCACAUUGGGACUGAGACACGGCCCAAACUCCUACGGGAGGCAGCAGUAGGGAAUCUUGCACAAUGGAGGAAACUCUGAUGCAGCGAUGCCGCGUGAGUGAAGAAGGCCUUUGGGUUGUAAAGCUCUUUCGUCGGGGAAGAAAAUGACUGUACCCGAAUAAGAAGGUCCGGCUAACUUCGUGCCAGCAGCCGCGGUAAUACGAAGGGACCUAGCGUAGUUCGGAAUUACUGGGCUUAAAGAGUUCGUAGGUGGUUAAAAAAGUUGGUGGUGAAAUCCCAGAGCUUAACUCUGGAACUGCCAUCAAAACUUUUUAGCUAGAGUAUGAUAGAGGAAAGCAGAAUUUCUAGUGUAGAGGUGAAAUUCGUAGAUAUUAGAAAGAAUACCGAUUGCGAAGGCAGCUUUCUGGAUCAUUACUGACGCUGAGGAACGAAAGCAUGGGUAGCGAAGAGGAUUAGAUACCCUCGUAGUCCAUGCCGUAAACGAUGUGUGUUAGAUGUUGGAAAUUAAUUUUCAGUAUCGCAGUGAAAACGUUAAAUACACCGCCUGGGGAGUACGACCGCAAGGUUAAAACUCAAAUGAAUUGACGGGGACCCGCACAAGUAGUGGAGCAUGUGGUUUAAUUCGAAGA